rnacentral:rRNA from 1 species
UUGGGGAAUCUUGCGCAAUGGGCGAAAGCCUGACGCAGCCAUGCCGCGUGAAUGAUGAAGGUCUUAGGAUUGUAAAAUUCUUUCACCGGGGACGAUAAUGACGGUACCCGGAGAAGAAGCCCCGGCUAACUUCGUGCCAGCAGCCGCGGUAAUACGAAGGGGGCUAGCGUUGCUCGGAAUUACUGGGCGUAAAGGGCGCGUAGGCGGACAGUUUAGUCAGAGGUGAAAGCCCAGGGCUCAACCUUGGAAUUGCCUUUGAUACUGGCUGUCUUGAGUACGGGAGAGGUGAGUGGAACUCCGAGUGUAGAGGUGAAAUUCGUAGAUAUUCGGAAGAACACCAGUGGCGAAGGCGACUCACUGGCCCGUUACUGACGCUGAGGCGCGAAAGCGUGGGGAGCAAACAGGAUUAGAUACCCGAGUAGUCC